rnacentral:rRNA from 1 species
GACGAACGCUGGCGGCGUGCUUAACACAUGCAAGUCGAACGGAAAGGCCCUGCUUUUGUGGGGUGCUCGAGUGGCGAACGGGUGAGUAACACGUGAGUAACCUGCCCUUGACUUUGGGAUAACUUCAGGAAACUGGGGCUAAUACCGGAUAGGAGCUCCUGCUGCAUGGUGGGGGUUGGAAAGUUUCGGCGGUUGGGGAUGGACUCGCGGCUUAUCAGCUUGUUGGUGGGGUAGUGGCUUACCAAGGCUUUGACGGGUAGCCGGCCUGAGAGGGUGACCGGCCACAUUGGGACUGAGAUACGGCCCAGACUCCUACGGGAGGCAGCAGUGGGGAAUAUUGCACAAUGGGCGGAAGCCUGAUGCAGCAACGCCGCGUGCGGGAUGACGGCCUUCGGGUUGUAAACCGCUUUCGCCUGUGACGAAGCGUGAGUGACGGUAAUGGGUAAAGAAGCACCGGCUAACUACGUGCCAGCAGCCGCGGUGAUACGUAGGGUGCGAGCGUUGUCCGGAUUUAUUGGGCGUAAAGGGCUCGUAGGUGGUUGAUCGCGUCGGAAGUGUAAUCUUGGGGCUUAACCCUGAGCGUGCUUUCGAUACGGGUUGACUUGAGGAAGGUAGGGGAGAAUGGAAUUCCUGGUGGAGCGGUGGAAUGCGCAGAUAUCAGGAGGAACACCAGUGGCGAAGGCGGUUCUCUGGGCCUUUCCUGACGCGGAGGAGCGAAAGCGUGGGGAGCGAACAGGCUUAGAUACCCUGGUAGUCCACGCUGUAAACGGUGGGUACUAGGUGUGGGGUCCAUUCCACGGGUUCCGUGCCGUAGCUAACGCUUUAAGUACCCCGCCUGGGGAGUACGGCCGCAAGGCUAAAACUCAAAGGAAUUGACGGGGCCCCGCACAAGCGGCGGAGCAUGCGGAUUAAUUCGAUGCAACGCGUAGAACCUUACCUGGGUUUGACAUGGAUCGGGAGUGCUCAGAGAUGGGUGUGCCUCUUUUGGGGUCGGUUCACAGGUGGUGCAUGGCUGUCGUCAGCUCGUGUCGUGAGAUGUUGGGUUAAGUCCCGCAACGAGCGCAACCCUUGUUCACUGUUGCCAGCACGUUAUGGUGGGGACUCAGUGGAGACCGCCGGGGUCAACUCGGAGGAAGGUGGGGAUGACGUCAAGUCAUCAUGCCCCUUAUGUCCAGGGCUUCACGCAUGCUACAAUGGCUGGUACAGAGAGUGGCGAGCCUGUGAGGGUGAGCGAAUCUCGGAAAGCCGGUCUCAGUUCGGAUUGGGGUCUGCAACUCGACCUCAUGAAGUCGGAGUCGCUAGUAAUCGCAGAUCAGCAACGCUGCGGUGAAUACGUUCCCGGGGCU